rnacentral:piRNA from 1 species
UUCUAUUUUGAGAAGCCUCCUUAUUUAGAGU